AAUGCUGUAUCGGCCGAAGAUAUCACCAAAUCACUUUUCCAUGUUUUACGAUAGUGACCCCAAACUUUUGGUCGAUGACAUCAAGGAUUAAUUUGAUGAUGAUGAUGAUGAUAAAAGUGUACCCACCAACAUCGCAAGGAUUACCUAUGGCUGCAGAAUCAUUCCGGAAGGGAAUGAUCUACCUGUUGGUUUGUUGUAGCAGGGUGAGUUAAAAUCGCUGAAUUCCUUCGGUAGUCAACAAAAAGUUGCUAGCUCAUGACAAAAGACUGGCUACUCCACGAACUUAAGUCCGGUCAUCAGUUCACAAAACUCCCGUAGGCUACCCCUCCCCGUGUGUGUGUAUACCCAGCAAUAUGAACAUUAAAAUUUUAGAAUAUUAUAAAACAGAAUGAUAUUGCAAAAGAGCGUAAGUAAAGAUAUAUAAUGGAAAAUAUUGGAAUACAAUUAAAAUAAAUUACCUGAUUACACCUGAGAGAGUAUGGGGGAUCAUGAAGUUAACCUUUAUAAAUCAUUUGUACUACACGUUGAAGAAAAAAGAACAAUCUCACCCAUACGACAGUUCGAAUCGUUCCAAUAGUUUUCUCCAAGAAUAGCAGCUGGAGCAUGCCACAGGUACACCAACCUCAACCUAAACGCUUGAUCCUUCUUGUUUCAACCACAGAAAUGCCUCUGCGUCUUGCUCCCAAAAUUCGAUAGUGAACUGGAAUCGCCACAUCAACCAGAGUUCCAACCAGCUCCAGCGGGAGUUGCGCAGCCAUUGCGUAGCCACGUUUGCGGAACUUUCUUUUCCUUCUUUUCCGCCUUGGACUAUUAAAUGGUCCGGUUAACUGGAUCACACCAACGUUCUUGUCAUCACAAUCGCAACCAAAACUGAUACACCAAUCGUGAACAUCAGGAUUUAAAAAUUAGAAAAAUUUGAUUAAAAAAUUGAAAAUAAAAAACAGUGAGUUGGCAUCAUCACGAGAACCAAAAAUAAUUUUCAACUUAUCCAAAGAAAUUUUUUUAAUUUCCUUCACGGAUUUGAAUCGUUUGUAAAACUCUGCAGAGAUCAACAAAACAUUUGUUGGUUUUUUCUUUUGCCGAAAAUAUACAGCAAAAGGACCAAUAAAUGUUGAAGGAUAUGUUUUCAUACGAAAAGGUUUGGAAGAAUUUUCCUUUGAAUUCAAAUUCUCCACAGGCAUUGUUCCAUUCCCGUCAGUUUCCAUAAUAGGAAAAUGACGGGGGUAAAUUAGUAAAGGAAGCACAAUAAAAAAUAAGACUAAUAAAAAUUAUAACAAUAAACUGAAAAUAAAAGUAUACUUCACCAAACAACUUCGAUAAAAGCUUGAAGGUUCAGCCGCUUCACACUCCGAACCCAGGUCAACGAAUCCAAACCACCGUCGAACAAUAAUCGAUAAGAAGCUUGAAAUUUCCUUCUUGAUAAUUUCUCCAAAGAAUUGAAAAACAAACUUGAAGUUGACUAGCUUCGAACUCCGACUACAGUUCAACGAACUCCACCCGCUAACGAACGGAACCGCAAACGAACGAAGCUUCAAAUUUCCUCCUUCUCCAAGACCGCAAAUCCAUAAGUUACCACCUUCGAAAACACCAAAACCAAUCGCCUACAAUCCGAUGCCACCAGAAAUCCGCCAAAUUCAACCGUCGUAGUCUUGAAAAUUUUCACUCCAGAAACGAGAAAAAACUGUCAGACGCAGGAAAAAUCCAACCGGCCAAGUCAAGGCCUACUGCUGCAAUGAUGACAUCAAGGAUUAAUUUACUUAAUAACUAGAUUUUUUAGCUAAGUUCUGUAAAAAGCAGUUGAAAGCUAAUAGAAAAUGGGUCAUAUUACCGCUCUCAUCUUAAAAUUUGGUCGACCCAACUUCCAGCGACACUACCGUAAGUUUAUAUUCAUUUUUUAGAAAAUUUGGCAACUUUGGGUUAAGUUUACAUACAAAAUUUGUUGAAAAAGUUUCUUUUAAAUCAUGUUCAAAGUUUCUUUGACUUAUUAUCUUUUGAAUGAGACCUAGGGUUUUGAAAUCGGACGCAAAUUGGCGGAGAUAUGGGCCUAAAAAAAUGACAUGUUUUUGAGGGGGUGACCCCAAACUUUUGAACGGGAGUGUAUUAGAGCAUUCCAAAAUUGCAUGAAUUUCUGCCUGGAAUACAGUUGGUUACUUUCCCAUGAGAAUCGACAAUUCUAUCCCUGGGCCAGUUACUCCUGAUCCCACUUUGUUGUUCAAUUUUGAACCGUCCGUAUAAAAGAUGAUCGAUCCCGGUCGAAAUUCUGGGCCAUCGUCUCGCCACGAGCUUCGAUCAGGGUUAAAAAUUUGAAACAGACGGUCAAAAUUGUACUUUUUCUCCAUCCAGUCUUCAUUGUUCACAACUAUGGAGUUUAUAUUAAAAGUUUUUAGAAUACUAAGAUGCUCAUUAGGGUCACCUUCCAAGAGGUUCGUAGAUCUUUUAAACCUUAGAUCACUCUUCCUAGUUUUCUCUGAGCGACGGAUUCCAUGGUUUUCUGCCACCAGACCAAUGAGGCAUAGGUAAUCCUUGUACUAUAGUAGUUUUUGAAGGAUUAAUCCUUCCCUGUCACACCACGGUCAAUUUUUCCACGCGCUAUUAUGACUUACAUCAUCUGCGAAACCAAUUAUUUCAAAUCCUUGUGAUUCUAAAUUUUUCAGAAGAUCGUUAACUAUCAAAGACCACAGAAGAGGUGAUAACACGCCUCCUUGGGGGCACCCAUUCACUGCUCUAACAGAUAUAGAGUAGUUUCCAAUGUUUGCUGAUAUCUCCCUUUUGGCUAACAUUCCAUCAAUCCAAUCAACAUCGCAUUAACUGAAACCUCGUUUUAUCAUGGCCGUUGCUAUUGAAUUGUGGGAUGAAUUAUCCCUCAAUGUCAAGAAAAACAGAAAGAGCAAUUUCUUUGGCAUUCAAAGAUUUUUCAAGUUUUGUAACAAGGUUAUGCAGUGCUGUUACUGAUGAUUUACCCUCUUGGUAAGCAAACUGGUGCUUGCUGGGAGGAUUCUCAAUAAGAUAUGAUGCUUUUAUGUGCUCAUCGAUUAUUUUUUCCAUAGUUUUUAGUAGUACAGACGAUAAGCUUAUUGGCCUAAAGGAUUUUGGCAGUGUUUUAUCCUUUUUAUUAGCCUUGGGGAUAAAAAUCACCCGUACUUGUCGCCACCCUACUGGAAUGUUACUUGAAGAUAAGCUGGCUUGGAAAAGUUUAGUUAACCCGGGAGGGGUCGCGUCGUGUACUGAGUAUACGCCCCAUGAAAAAUGCACGCUUGUGGUACACAGCGCGAGCGCGGCGUCGCUUCAGGUAAUCAAAGACGCGACUGCUCGAGGGUUGUUUGGCCAAAGCGCAACCAUCAAUCCUGUCUCUAUUUAAUCCAGUCGUUUCGCUCAGUAUUUCACGAUCAUACGCCCUGGUUUCAAUAACGCCAGUUUUUGAUACAGUCACUAGCGUGUGCAGGGUUCUUGCUUAGGGGGGCACUAUAAUAAUGGUGCAAUAUAUGUAUGAUCAAGGUGCAAAAUAGAAUUAUGGUGUUACACGCAAUAUGAAUUCCCAAGUAGGGGUUUCAACAUGUUGUGGUGCUAACAUCGCCAAGUACUUCAUAUUGGGAUUCUGGAGAAGGCUUCGGAUGGUCAUGAUUUCAAGGCAAUACGAAACUUUAAUAUGAAGUCAUUAUCUCGACUCUUAUAAAAUUUUAUAAACGUAUAAAAUACAAUGGAGAAUAUCUAGAAAAUUAUCAAUUAUAGAGAAAAAUAUUGUCGUUGUGGAAUAAUUUUGAUCCUAGACAAUUAGUGAUGCUAGAAUUGGAGAAUGUCAGAACAUUUUGAUCGGAAUCCUUGUUGCAAUCUACAGAGAUUCCUCCAGGAUUUCUCCAAAGAUUCGUGUUCCAAGAAUUCCCCCAAAAAAUCUUCCAAUAAUUCCUUCAGAAAUUCCUCCAGGAAGUCUCAUAUAUUUCUCCAGAAAUUCCUCAAAUAAUUCUUCUAGGAAUUCCUCCAGUAAAUACUCCAGGAAUUCUUCCAAAAUUACCUCCAGGAAUUCCUCCUGAAAUUUCUUCUAGGAAAAAUCCUCUAGAAAUGUCUGCCAGAAUUCCCCCAAUAUUUCCUCCAGGGAUUUCUCUAAGAGUUGAUCCACGGAAUCCCCCAGAAAAUCCUAAAGUAAAUUCUGAAGAAUAUCUUCCUGGAAUUCCUCGAUAAAUUCCUCCAGGAGUUCCUUCAGAAAAUUACGCAGGAAAUUCUCAAUGAAUUUGCUCAGGAAUUCCUUUAUCCAAGAAUUCCUGCAGGAAUUCAUUCAUAAAUUUCUUCAGAAAUUCCUCAAAAAAAUCCUCCAGGUAUUCGUUCAGAAUUUGCUCGAGUAGUUCAUUCAGACAUUCCUCCAGAAAUUCCUCCGAGAUGCCUCCAGGGAUUUCUCCUCGAAAUUCAUCCAUGGACUUCACCAGAAAAUCCUAAAGUAAUUUCACCCGAAACUCUUCCAGGGAUUCCUUCAGGAGUUCCUCGAAUGAUUCCGUGAGAAAUUCCACCAGAGAUUCCUCCAUGGAAUCUCCUAGGAAUUUCUCCAGCAUUUUUUUUCCUGAAAUUUCUUCAGGAAUUUCUCCAGGGAUGCAAUAAUAAAUGUCUUCAAGAAUUACUCCAGAUAUUCCUUCAGAAAUUCUUUGAGAAGUUCCUUCAGGCAUAUCUCCAUUAAUUUUCCAGAAAGCCUCAUAUAUUUCACCAGAAAUUCCUCUAAUAAUUCCUCUGGUAAAUACUCCAAUAAUUCCUCCAGAAAUUUCUCCUGAAAUUAUCUUUUAGGAAUGACUGUCAGAAUUCCUACAAUAUUUCUUCUAGGGAUUCCUCCAAGAAUUGAUCCUCGCAUUCCUCCAGAUAAUCCUAAAUGAAUUUUUAACGGAACUCUUCCAGGAAUUCCUCAUAGAAUUCCUCGAAAAAUUCCCCCAUGGAUUCCUCCAGGAAAUUCUCAAGGCAUUUCUUCAGGAAUUCCUCCGAGGAUUCAUCCAUGAAAUUCUUCAGAAAUUCCGCAAAAAAUCCUCCAGGAAUUCUUAAGAAAUUUCUGCUUAAGGAAGAGCGCCAGAAAUUCUACCAGGAACUCCUCCAGGGAUUCCUCUAAAAAAUCCUCUGGGAAUUUUCACCAGAACUACAGCGAUUUUCCCUUACAUUCCUCAAAGAAUUCCUCUAGAACUUUUUCAAGGAGUUUCUCAAGGAGUUCCUGCAGGGAUUCGUUAAAAAAUUCUUCAGGAAUUCAUUAAAAAAAAUCCUUCAGAAAUUCCUCGAGGAGUUCCUUCAGAAAUUUCUCCAUAUAUUUCUCCAGAAUUUCCCCAAAUAAUUCCUCCAGUAAAUACUCCAGAAAUUUCCUCAGAAUGACCUCCAGGAAUUCCUCCAGAAUUACCCCAGGAAUUCCUCUUGUUCUACAAAUUCCUCCAGAAAAUUCUAAAGGAAUUUCUCCCGGAACUCUUCCAGGAUUUCCUCCUGGAAUUUCUCGAGCAAUUCUUCCAUGGAUUCCUCGAGGAAAUUCUCAAGGACUUCUUCAGGGAUUCAUUCCUUCAACGAUUUAUUCAUGAAUUUCUUCAAAAAUUCAUCCAGAAAUACCUCCAGGAAUUACUCAAGAAAAUCCUCUAGGAAUUUCUGUCAGAAUUCCUCCAGGGAAUCUUAAAGGAAUGUUUCCCGGAACCCUACCAAGAGUUACUUCAGGGAUACCUCCAUGGAUUCCUCCAGGAAUUUCUCCAGGAUUUUUUUCAGGAAUUUCUUCAGAAAUUCCUCCCUCCAUGGAUUCUACAAGAAAUUUUGCAAGGCAUUCAUCCAGGGAUUUUUCCAGAAAAUCCUUCACGGAAUCCUCCACAUAAUCCUAAAUCAAUUUCUCCUAGAACUCUUCUAGGAAUUCCUCCAGGGAUACUUCCAUGGAAUCCUCAUGAAAUACCUCCAGGGAUUGCUGCCGGAAUUCCUACAGAAAAUUCUCUAAGAAUUUCUGCCAGAAUUCCUCCAAUAUUGUCUCCAGGGAUUCUUCCAGAAAUUCCUCGACUAAUUCCUCCAGAAAAUCCUAAACGAUUUUUUUCCGGAUCUUUUCCGGGAAUUUCUCUAGGAAUUCCUCCAGAGAUUUCUUCAGGAAUUCAUCCAUGAGUUUCUUCUGAAAUUGCUAAAAAAAAUCCUUCAUUAAUUCCUCGAGGACAUUCCUCCAGGAAGCUUUAAAUAUUUGUCCAGAAAUUCCUUAAAGAAUUUUUCCAGGAAUUUCUCUAGUUAUUCCUCUAAGAAUUCAUAAAUGAAUUUCCCCAAAAAAAUCUGGAGGAAUUCAUCCAGAAAUACCUCCCGGAAUGCAAACAUGGAUUCUCACAGAAAUUUUUCCAGAGAUUCCUGAAGAAAAUCAUCCAGGAAUUUCUCCAGGCAUUCGUCCAGGAAUGUAUAGCAAAAAAUACCUCAAAGAAGUCUUUCGGGAAUUCCUUCAGGAAUUCCUCCAUUCAUUCCUUCAAAAAUUUCUUCAGUAAUUCCAUCUUGAAUUUCUACAGGGAUUCUUCCAAGAAUUUCUGCAAGGUUACCUUAAGGAAUUCCUGCUCGGAUUUCUCCAAAAAAUCCUGAAGAAAUUUCUCCCGGAACUCUUCCUGAAAUUCCUCGAGAAAUUUUUCCAGGGAUUUCUACAGAACUUUUUUCAUGAUUUUUUUUCUGGAUUUUUCCAGGAAUCUCUCUAGAAAUUUCUCUUGGGACAACAAUAGCACAGUUAAACAUUUCCGGGUUUUCUUUCGAAGUUUGGCUAAUCGGUUAUUCCACCAAUCUUUGUUCGUGGAGAGUUACUUAGCAGUGCAACUUUUAUUAAAUGCAUUCAAAAUAAAACUAGAUAUUUGUUUUGAACUUUCUUCAAGUUCUGUGCAUGAGUUUGAGAUGGUGAGUAAUGUGUUUACUCCAGCUCUCAGCUCUGCAUUGUAAAGCUCCCAGUUUGCUUUUCUGGGAUCUCUUAUAGUUUGUGUGAGUUGUUUACCAGCCUCAUACUCGAAUAAGAUUUGCAUGUGAUCCGAUAAUGAUGCUUCAUCAGAUACAUACAUGCCAAUUUUUUAUUUUUUCCGAGAUUUUCGGACUACACAGUGUCAAAUCGAGAACUUCCUGCUUUAUUGCGUUUAUAAAUAUUGGUACUAGUUUACUAAAUGUAUUGUUAUUUCAAAGAAAAUGCCUAAAAGUAAAUAUUUCAAGAAAAAUUUUAAGCAUAAAUGUAUAUUCAUGUUCAAAGAAAUGGAUGGCCUAAUCGGAUUAAGCAAGCGGAUUGCUGAAAAGUUAGAAACAUUCAUUCAAAUUUUCAUUACAUGUGUGAUACUGUUAUGACAACGAAUUUUUGAUCGUGUCUUUAUAUAGAACAUAUAUAUGGGUCACAAUUUAACACGGAAGGGAUGUAAAACAUAUCAACACUCACAGGAAAUUUUACGUUUGAGCGGUGCCGCCAUCGCGGUGUAGAGCUUGAAACAUUUUUAAAGGAAAUUUUGUUACCUAAAAAAAUAAUAGGGGUACUCACGAAACAGAUUAAAUUGCUGCGUAAGCCAUGAUUUUCUGCUUAUUUGAAAUGUUUCACGAUUUUGCGAAUGAAAUAAUCAAAGAUUGCUUUGGUGAUCGCGACGUUUAUUCAGUUUAAUCAGUUUACGCUGUUUAGUGAAUCCCCCUAAUGAUUUACUGUGUGUACUUAGAAGUGCCAUUAUAAUGCGAGAUGAUCACAAUUAUCUGAGUUUUAUAUAUGUUUUCAUCAACCGUGCAAAUAUAUAUUCGUAUACAUUUUUGAGAGAUUUUAGGAGCACAGAUUUACACCGCAAUGCACUGUACGUCCCCAGUAGAACAUCAAUUUUUCAGCACUGUUUCACAUUUUUUGGAAUAACUCCAAAAUUAAUGUAAAUAUCGUUAUGAAUAUUGGAGUGAAAGUAGUGCACAAGUUGUAAAAUCGGGGAAAAUUUCCAAAUGUGACACUCGAGUGUAAAAAAAGAAAACAUCUUGAAAAAUGAGCCCAUUUUUUUAAGUUGACAUGAUAUUUCAUUACUUUUACAUGAUAUGUCAUAUUAACUUCUGUGACAUCCUACGCUCUUAUUAUGUGCAUUAGACCUGUUCACUUUGAAACUUUUUUUCUCCGAUUCUCCGUGACACAUCAAAUUGUCAAUCCACAUGCAAAAACAAGUCUUCAGUCCAAAAUUGAGCCAAAUUGAUAAAGAUUUAAAGGUGUAUCAAAUCGAUUUUGUGUUUUUAGCCGUUUUCACAGAAAUUUACUCAUAAAUCCAGAAAAUUGCUCCGAAAGGGUGAAAAUACCGUUAGGAUAUAGUUAGUACAAUACUCUACAACUUUGCCGAAGAUACUACGGUGUUUAAAUUGCUUAUUUCGAAGCUAUUCAAUAAUUUUGUUGAAAAAUCACGAAAAAACACGAUAUUUUUACGAUUUUACAUAUAAAAGUCAUGUAAUUUUACAUUAUUUUACGUGACUAAAUUAAUUAGCAAUUUCUCCUUUGUGUAACGAACAUUUCGUCCAUACACCGUUUUUGUGUAGGAAUUCGUUUUCAAUGACUAAUUAUCAAAAGUAUGUCACGUUGAUACUAAAAAUCGCGUAGAGUUGCCAGCACGAAUUAAAACAAAGUUACCCAUGAUUAAGACGUCAUGCCAUCGUAUUCUAAUGUCUUUUGAUUCAAGUAUCAGAAAUGGCGCAGUUGAUAAGGCUCGAGCCUGCGGAUCAGAAGGUCCCACGUUCAAGCUCAAAUACAUAAUAAACUUUUUUUUCUUUCUUUGUAGCAGUUAGGAUGAUGAAUCUGCCAUCAGCCAUGGCCCAUGACUUACACGCAAUCUCCCAAAUAAUGAUGAUCGGGACCUGCCAAUUAAGUCCAUUCCAGGACUAGCUAGAUAUUUAGUUUACUUGUUGACAAGAAAUCGUGUCGACGAGAUUAGCUGGACGAAAUAUUGGACAUCUGUUUGAUACCGAUUAAUUUCAGGGUUCCUGAUUUCCACUUUUUAUCUUCUUCCACAUUCGAAGACAGUCAGCAGCGAACGGUUGUCGCAUUAGUUCGUGUGUAUGCUUGUCAGCGACGACAGCAAACUCCGGCGAACGGUGGGAAGCCACACUUGGAAAUUACUCAUUCGUCAACAUUCGCAUCGCAAGCGAAUGCGAUUCGUGAGUGAUGCGAUUGAUAUUGUGCAUACGAAUUUUUGAUGUUUUCGAAUUAUUUUCUUUGCUAAUCUAGCAUUUCAACAACAAUACAGUAAAAAUGUAUGCAUUACAUGCAGAAAUUCUCUUCUACUUAUGAUAAUAGCCGCUUCGAUCGCUCACCAGCAUUUUUCACCACUCGCCAUUCAUUCAUUCGCUUGCGAUCCAAACUGCGACGAAUGGCAACGAAUAUUCAUGUCUAGCAGCUGGCCCAUCGCUUCCCACUGGUGAUGGGGUUGCGUGUUUGAUCACGACGAUCCGUUUGCUGCAUCUUUCUCGAUUCGCUUCAGCAAAGAGGAGUGAAUAUGAAUGGAGUGAGGCGAAUAUACCGAUCCUUGAUUAAUUUAGCUAAAACAAUUCAAUACGAUGAUGGAACUGCCUCUGGAUGCAAAAUUUAUCAUACAAUUGUGGAGAUUAUAUACUUGCAUCUAUCUAGCCACAAGCAACACAACUACACGAUGAAGGGAAACUUCAUUCUUACUAUGCACUCUACGGUUUCGAAGCAAGGGUCUGAUGCCAAAUUGCAAUGAGAUGCAAAGCGUAGUCUCAUUAACUUACAGCUGGAUCGAGACGCAAAAAAUCCUGUGCCAGGGCUCGAACCUUGAAUCUUCGAAUCAGCAGUCUCAUGCUCAACCAUCUACACCAAAUUGAAACUGAUGCACAUGCGACAAAGAAAUGUAAUGACGUUUCAAUCAUGGGUAACUUUGUUCAAUUUUGUGCUGGCAACUCUAUGCGAUUUUUAGUAUCAACGUGACAUACUUUUGAUAAUUAUUCAAUGGAAACGAAUUCCUACACUAAAAUGAUGUAUGGACGAAAUGUUCGUAACACAUAGGAGCAAUAGCUAAUUAAAUUAGUCACUUAAAACAAUGUAAAUUUACAUGACUUUUACAUGAAAAACCGUAAAAAUAUUGUAUUUUUUCUCGAUUUUUUAACGAAAAUUGUUGAAUAACUUUGAAAUAAACAAUUUAAACACCGUAGUGUCUUCGGCAAAGUUGUAGAGUAUUGUUCCAACUAUAUUUUAACGGUGUUUUCGAUACCUUUUCGGAGCAAUUUUCUGGAUGUUGGAGUACAUUUUCUUGAAAAUGCUCGAAAAAACACAAAAUCGAUUUGAUACACCUCUAAACCUUUAUCAAUUUGGCUCAUUUUUGGACUGAAGACUUGUUUUUGCAUGUGGAUUGAUAAUUUGAUGUGACACGGGUAGGCCAAAAAGAAGUGAACAGGUCUAAUGUGCAUCAUGUGUCACAAAAUGUGAUAUGCUCAACUGGAAAACUGGAGACUGAUAUGCUCAGCUCAUUAUCGACUAGACCCUCUUUCUAUCUGGGCCCCUCAAUUAUGAUUAUUUAACCCAAAAUCGAUUUAUCCUAUUCUGUUCAAGUUGAGACAAACCUUUGUCGCAUUGGGUGUAUUGUCGCAAUAAAUGCAGGAUGCGACAUUGUCAUUUUUGUUGCGUGAUGGUUGUAAUUUGAUUUAAUGAUUGUCAUGAUUGGUUUUCAUGUUAUUUAAAAAGUAUCCUCUUUACAGCAUCGAGUGGAAUUCAUUAAAUUCUAUUUACACCUCAUCUUAAUUGGUUACGUGCUGCAAAUUGUUAAUCUAUUGUUUGGUUGCAUCGGAGCUGGUAUCGACAUAAGAAACAGCGGCAAAACGGCUUAUGACAUCAGUACAGCAGCAAUGGUUACGACAAUGUCGUACUUUUCUUAUAUAUCAAUUGCAACUGUUCAAUAUACUUUGAUUGUUUGGAUACUCAAAGGUGUAAUUAGCACUAGUUCGAAUAAUAGCAUGCGUUUGGUGACGUCUGGGGAUGCAGCUUAAAUGGCCUAAGUUAAGAGUGGGGUAUUAAACAAACAUACCAAUAUCUAAAAUACAGUAGGUGCUAGUGUUCACACAGCUAAUAACAAGAUGUAUUAACCCGGGAGCGGUCGCGUCGUGUACUGAGUACACGCACCAAGAAAAAUGCACGCUUGUGGUACACAGAGUGAGCGCGGCGUCGCUGCAGGUAGUCAAAGACGCGACUGCUCGAGGGUUAACAUUCAAAAAUAAAUCUAAAAGCAAAAAUUAAAAACUUGCUCGACAAGGCAUAUUUUUACGAGCACCUUA